AAGUCGAACGGCAGCGCGGGCUUCGGCCUGGCGGCGAGUGGCGGACGGGUGAGUAAUGCAUCGGAACGUGCCCAGGAGUGGGGGAUAACGUAGCGAAAGUUACGCUAAUACCGCAUACGUACUGAGGUAGAAAGCGGGGGAUCGAAAGACCUCGCGCUCAUGGAGCGGCCGAUGUCGGAUUAGCUAGUUGGUGGGGUAAAAGCUCACCAAGGCGACGAUCCGUAGCUGGUCUGAGAGGACGACCAGCCACACUGGGACUGAGACACGGCCCAGACUCCUACGGGAGGCAGCAGUGGGGAAUCUUGGACAAUGGGGGAAACCCUGAUCCAGCAAUGCCGCGUGUGGGAUGAAGGCCCUCGGGUUGUAAACCACUUUUGGCAGGAAAGAAAUCGCCUGUGCUAAUACCAUGGGCGGAUGACGGUACCUGCAGAAUAAGCACCGGCUAACUACGUGCCAGCAGCCGCGGUAAUACGUAGGGUGCGAGCGUUAAUCGGAAUUACUGGGCGUAAAGCGUGCGCAGGCGGUUUUGUAAGACAGAUGUGAAAUCCCCGGGCUUAACCUGGGAACUGCAUUUGUGACUGCAAGACUAGAGUGUGUCAGAGGGAGGUGGAAUUCCGCGUGUAGCAGUGAA
rnacentral:rRNA from 1 species